UACGUAGGGUGCGAGCGUUACUCGGAAUUACUGGGCGUAAAGCGUGCGCAGGCGGUUUUGUAAGCCAGAUGUGAAAGCCCCGGGCUCAACCUGGGAAUGGCAUUUGGGACUGCAAGGCUUGAGUGCGGCAGAGGAGACUGGAAUUCCUGGUGUAGCAGUGAAAUGCGUAGAUAUCAGGAGGAAUACCGAUGGCGAAGGCAGGUCUCUGGGCCGAUACUGACGCUGAGGAGCGAAAGCGUGGGGAGCAAACAGG
rnacentral:rRNA from 1 species